CCGAGUUUACAACUCCCAAACCCCUGUGAACAUACCACUUGUUGCCUCGGCGGAUCAGCCCGCUCCCGGUAAGACGGGACGGCCCGCCAGAGGACCCCUAAACUCUGUUUCUAUAUGUAACUUCUGAGUAAAACCAUAAAUAAAUCA
rnacentral:misc_RNA from 1 species